GGGUUGGCCCAGCUGUCACUCCAGGAGGGGUGGCUGGACAAUACCUUAGAGGUGCUGCAUCCUCAUGUACCAGGUCAGAAUGCCACACACUCAAAUGUGGCCUCUCCUCUCCUCUGUCAUGAGUGAGUGAGUACAGGGCAAUGUCCUAGCAGUGCUGUCUCGUCUGCCAGCUUCCUUACACCAGUGUCCUGUCAUACCAGCAGGGACUCCAGCGAUAGGGACUUCCUUCAUAUUCCCAUUCUCCCAGGGUCAGCUGGGAAUGGAACAGUGUGUGAGCCUCUUCAUGGCAGUGCCCCACAGAGAGAGCCAGGCAGGGAGCUGAGUGCAUCUGUCUGCUUCCAAAUGUGAAACCCUGGAUUGCAGGUCUGAUGUCCUAAAGUAUAGCAGGAGGCUCAGCACCAGAGAAAUCAAAGACACCCCAGGAAGCCCAGAGCCCAGCAGUAGAGGAAACCUGCAGCAUCUUUCUCCAUCCCCUGUCCUGGGGGGAGCAAUGCACCCCCUGUCAAAGGCACCAUUGCUAGCACCUUUCCAGCCCUUCUCCUCCA